rnacentral:lncRNA from 1 species
CAAUGGGGUCUCUUCUUUUGUUACUUUCUGUAGGUGUACAUGAUGCCGGCCUUUUGGUAGUCUUCUCCAUUUGCCUCUUCAGUGGCUGAAUUUAAUCACCAAGGAAAAACAAACCCCCAUGUCCAACUGUUCUCACAGUGGGUCACACAAAAAGUGUAACGGGAGUGGAGAAGAACCAGAAAUGAGAAGAAGACAAGUCCUAAAGGUAGGUAAGUGUACAAUUAGGUAAUUGUGUCCUGUUUCAUAGGAAACAAGAAACCAUGCAUGGGACAAGAAUCUAAUGAAGGAUAGGUACGUACAAUACAAUUGUUUCCUACAAAAAUAAUUUUUAAUAAAAUCUCUCUGUAGAUCUUAUUCAAGUUAUGAACCUUUCAUCUUCAAACAGUAAAGAUAUACACACAUUCACAAGCUGUUUUAUUUACAAAUCUAUGACAUCUGCAAAACUUUUAAACAAAGGACUCCACAUUAAUAACACCUAGAUUAUGAUUGUCUCAUCAGCUCCACUGCUUCAAGAGAGGAACUACAUCAGAGAAUUAAGGGAGCUCCUUGCAUUGGGUUCUAAGCAGUUCAGUCCCAGCUGUCUGGUUGUAGCAUGAGAUUCUUACUGGUAGAGCUUAGUAUCCAUCUGCUAAUAAAGAGACAAACAAGAAUCGUCCCCGGAUGCCUGUGCCAACUGAACAUUUCACCAAAAACAAUUAAAUCAAAUUUUUCUUGCGAAUUGUUAAAGUAGCUUGAGGCAGUGUCACUUACAUGGCCUCAAAUAAUGUCUCCAGUGUUGCAGAAACAACUAUUUUCUCUCUGCACUAGAUGAAGAAGGGCUGGGUUUAUUUUUUCCCCUUCUCUUCCCUGAGCAAAUCCCCAUAACAAAUAAAGUUACACUUCAAGACCGGAUUACUCAGACUAUUGGCUUUGCAUGCCAAUGUUUAAGUAAAAAUGAUACUUCUGAGAAUUCAAAUAAUGUUUAAGUAUUUCCAGGCUACAGUUCUACUUGCAUUUGUCUUGGCACCAGCUCACCAUGAAUGUGUCAGGUUUUCAAAAAGAUGACUGUUUAGUCAUAGUUGGAUGUCUUCAUCCAAUGUCUCACAUGUGCUGAAUAUGUUUCUAUUGCCUUCUUGCCUACUGUCAUUUGGUAAAGAGUUCACUGCGCCAUUAGCUAUACAGUUUUUUGAUAGGAGCCUGCAAUCUCUUCUAGAAAUGGUCUUAUUUUGUUUAAGAGAGAAAAAUUUAAAAAGAGAAUGAAUGAGAGAGACAAAAAGAGAAAGCUUAAAAAUUCAAUAAAAUACAAAAGAUGUUACAAAAUUUAUGAUAAUGUAAAUAAUCGAUCAUUUAUCAACUAACUCUCCCAAAAGCUUCAGCCCUGGCCUUGUUUUCAUUUCAAGUGUGUUCAUUUUACAAGUGUCAGAAAAUAACAUUUUGUAAAUGACACAGUAAAUUACAUUAUCUUAAAGAUUACACCCUUAAUUUUUUUAAACUCUCAAAAACCAUUCCUUC